rnacentral:rRNA from 1 species
AUUGAACGCUGGCGGCAUGCCUUACCCAUGCAAGUCGAACGGCAGCACGGGUGCUUGCACCUGGUGGCGAGUGGCGAACGGGUGAGUAAUACAUCGGAACAUGUCCUGUAGUGGGGGAUAGCCCGGCGAAAGCCGGAUUAAUACCGCAUACGAUCUACGGAUGAAAGCGGGGGACCUUCGGGCCUCGCGCUAUAGGGUUGGCCGAUGGCUGAUUAGCUAGUUGGUGGGGUAAAGGCCUACCAAGGCGACGAUCAGUAGCUGGUCUGAGAGGACGACCAGCCACACUGGGACUGAGACACGGCCCAGACUCCUACGGGAGGCAGCAGUGGGGAAUUUUGGACAAUGGGCGAAAGCCUGAUCCAGCAAUGCCGCGUGUGUGAAGAAGGCCUUCGGGUUGUAAAGCACUUUUGUCCGGAAAGAAAUCCUUGGUUCUAAUAUAGCCGGGGGAUGACGGUACCGGAAGAAUAAGCACCGGCUAACUACGUGCCAGCAGCCGCGGUAAUACGUAGGGUGCGAGCGUUAAUCGGAAUUACUGGGCGUAAAGCGUGCGCAGGCGGUUUGCUAAGACCGAUGUGAAAUCCCCGGGCUCAACCUGGGAACUGCAUUGGUGACUGGCAGGCUAGAGUAUGGCAGAGGGGGGUAGAAUUCCACGUGUAGCAGUGAAAUGCGUAGAGAUGUGGAGGAAUACCGAUGGCGAAGGCA